rnacentral:misc_RNA from 1 species
CUUCAUGUCUGAGAAGAUGUCUUUUCAACAUAUCGUGCCCAUUUCUUAUUGACUUUCGUAGUGACCUCCUAUUGUUGCUAAUGCUUCCUCAUUUCUAACUUUCUCUAUCCUCAUCAUUCGCUUGUAACACCACAUUUUGAACACUUCUACCCUUUGCUUAUCGUAUUUGUUACAACAGUAGUUGCGAUAAUGAAAUGACAAGUGUUUUUAUGCGAAUAGAUUAGCUUAAUUGCAUCUGACAUUAUAAAUAAGUCGCGAUUUGUUUAAAUGCAUAGUUAAGAUGUUGCUUCGGAUGCUGGAGUUAUCUUCUGUGAUAUUAUUCGUAUUCUGUUUGCUUUCGUUAUUUUUGUGGUUUUAUUUUCAUUACAAUUAUUUCUUCAAAUUAAAAAAUAUACUUGGCCCAGCACCUGUACCCUUAAUUGGAAAUGCCCUGUACUUCAGAGAAAUAAACGAUAUUUUGCCAAACUUAAUGAGAUUCAAGAAGAAAUAUGGAUCUCCUUUUAAACUGUCGUUUGGUUUUCAAUAUCCCAGAGUGAUUAUUUGUGAUCCUAAGUUUAUGACAUUUUUCUUGUCUUCUACUAAAUACAUUACGAAAUCAGAGGAUUAUAAGUUUUUACGUAACUGGUUAGGAAAUGGCCUUUUGACAAGUACAGGAAAAGAAUGGAAAGGUCACAGGAAAAUGAUAACCCCUGCUUUCCAUUUUAAUAUACUCGAACAGUUUUUAGAUGUAUUUGAAAAAAACGUUGACAUUAUGAUUAACAAAUGGGAACGUGAAGUUGGAACCAAAUGUUUUGAUGUAUUUCCUUAUUUGAAAUUAUUUACUUUGGAUAUUAUUUGUGAAACAGCGUUAAGGACGGAAAUCAACGCUCAAAUUGAUGACAACUCCGAUUACGUUCGUGCAGUCCAGACAGUUACCCGAAUAAUGAUGGAAAGAUCUCUAAGUCUUUUUGUGUCGUACGAAUCGAUAUACAAGUUCACCAAUAAAUUCGUUGAGGAGCGAGAUGCUCUCAAAAUCAUCAAUGAUUUAACGGAUUCGGUCGUUAAAAGAAGAAAAGAAGAGAUUGAAAAUCAAUCAAAUUACCAAACCGAAGAGUUUAAAGUCAAAAGAAAACUUGCUUUCUUAGAUUUGCUUUUGCAAGCUGAGGCCGAUGGUGAACGACUGUCUGAGAUCAGCAUUCGAGAGGAAGUCAACACUUUUAUGUUUGAGGGCCACGAUACGACGGCGUCUGCAAUCAGUUUUUGUUUGUUCAAUAUUUCCCAACAUCCAAAAGUACAGAAGAAAAUUGUCGAAGAACUAAAGACUAUUUCAGAAAAGAGUAGCACCGAUCACUACACUUAUUCAGACUUGCAGGAAAUGAAAUAUCUGGAAGCUGUAAUAAAGGAAACUCUGAGAUUAUAUCCAUCAGUGCCUAUUUUUGGCAGACUGGCAAUUGAAGACAUAGUACAUGAGAUCCAGAAUUAUUCCCGGAGCCUGAAAAGUUUCUUCCAGAACGAUUCUUGAAUAAUAACGUUAAAAUAAACAACCCAUAUUCAUAUGUACCUUUUAGUGCUGGACCGAGAAAUUGUAUUGGUCAAAAGUUCGCAAUGCUUGAAAUGAAAUCGACUAUAGGACAUAUUUUGCGAAAAUUUGAAUUACAUCCUGCAGAUGAAAAUUUUCGACUUA